GUCCCAGUUCGGAUUGCAGGCUGCAACCCGCCUGCAUGAAGUUGGAAUCGCUAGUAAUCGCGGAUCAGCAUGCCGCGGUGAAUACGUUCCCGGGCCUUGUACACACCGCCCGUCACACCAUGAGAGUCGGGAACACCCGAAGUCCGUAGCCUAACCGCAAGGGGGCGCGGCCGAAGGUGGGUUCGAUAAUUGGGUGAAGUCGUAACAAGGUAUC
rnacentral:rRNA from 1 species